GCUCCCGUAGCUCAAAUGGAUAGAGCACGAGUUUCCUAAACUUGUGAUCACGGUUCAAUUCCGUGCGGGAGCACCA
rnacentral:tRNA from 1 species